rnacentral:rRNA from 1 species
UACGGAGGGUGCAAGCGUUGUCCGGAUUUAUUGGGCGUAAAGGGCGCGUAGGCGGCCUGGUCAGUCGGGUGUGAAAGCCCGGGGCUCAACCCCGGAACUGCACUCGAGACGGUCAGGCUGGAGUCCGGGAGAGGAGGGUGGAAUAGCCGGUGUAGCGGUGAAAUGCGUAGAUAUUGGGAGGAACACCAGUGGCGAAGGCGGCUCUCUGGACCGAUACUGACGCUGAGGCGCGAAAGCGUGGGGAGCAAACAGG